rnacentral:rRNA from 1 species
GACGAACGCUGGCGGCGUGCUUAACACAUGCAAGUCGAACGGAAAGGCCCUGCUUUUGUGGGGUGCUCGAGUGGCGAACGGGUGAGUAACACGUGAGUAACCUGCCCUUGACUUUGGGAUAACUUCAGGAAACUGGGGCUAAUACCGGAUAGGAGCUCCUGCUGCAUGGUGGGGGUUGGAAAGUUUCGGCGGUUGGGGAUGGACUCGCGGCUUAUCAGCUUGUUGGUUGGGUAGUGGCUUACCAAGGCUUUGACGGGUAGCCGGCCUGAGAGGGUGACCGGCGACAUUGGGAAUGAGAUACGGCCCAGACGACUACGGGAGGCAGCAGUGGGGAAUAUUGCACAAUGGGCGGAAGCCUGAUGCAGCAACGCCGCGUGCGGGAUGACGGCCUUCGGGUUGUAAACCGAUUUCGCCUGUGACGAAGCGUGAGUGACGGUAAUGGGUAAAGAAGCACCGGCUAACUACGUG